rnacentral:lncRNA from 1 species
AGUCUUCUAUAAGGUAUGACUUAUAUUGCUUUUUUGUAAAAUAAAUACUAAUGUAUAAAUCUGUGGAAACCUGUUUCUAAAAUCCUCGGCAUAAAAUUAAUUCCCUCAUUCAAUUUUUCAUUUGGCAAUUAGCAUCAUCUUAUAAACUUUUACUAUUCACUUAUGGGUAAUGAUCGUAUGUCAUAUAUUUUGAAUUUUACUUAGAUUUUGUGGUGUUAUUAUGUUUUGUUUUUUUCACAUUCAUUUCUAAAGAUAUGUCAGGUUUAUUUAACGACUUUUAAAAGUAUUUUGAGAUUGUUUUGCUAGUUGAACUCGUUUUUAGUCAUUUUUAAUCAAGAGUCAGUUGGGGAAGUUUGAAAAGCAUAAAAAAUAACGAAAGAAAUUCUGCAUUGUUUUUAUAAUGAUGCAGAACAUAAAUUUGUCCAAAAAAUACUUUGUUUAAAAAAUUAACUUAAAUAUGGCAGCUCUGUCAUAUUGUAUUGCUACAUGUAUCUGCAAAUAACAUUAACGGUACCAAUUUUCUGAACCAGAUGUGAAUUUCGACAAUACAUGUCUCUUCAGUGAUGCUCGAGGCCAAAAUAUGUAAAAUCCAAAGCUUAUUUAAAAAAUGAAGAUCUAUAUUCCAAAAGUUCCAAAAAGUAUAGCCAAAUCCGUGAAAGGAAUAGUUUCAUGUUUUCAUCGCUAUUUCAUUAAAAUAAUUUUAUCAAAAAGAUAACAGGGCAUUGUUCACUGCAAUAAGUCAGAAAUGAGAUUGUGUACAAGAGAAGGAAAAUACAAGACAUAUUUUCAAUCUUAUAAGUUGACGACAAACUUAAAACGCAAUUUCAAAAUAUCGACACACGACGGAGAGACUUACAACAAUCUUUGAAACACAACAAUGAUAACUAAGGAUUCAGAAACACAAAUCAAAUCAAAAACAAGAAACAGAUGUAGCAUUGGAUGAAUUUGAAUUUAUCGUAAAUGUAAAUUUACUUUCGUAACCAUAUCAGACAGAGAUAACAUUAGUUGUUUCACCGAGGACAACGUCGUAGGUCAAAACAGGUAUUUUUUCAAAAGUCAAUUAAACCACACAUUUUCAGAAACAAAAGACAGUAAUUGUUUUUUUCUCCGUAUUCCGUGAGAGAAAAUAUGAUCACGCCAAUUAUUAACCGAAACCAAUUGUACAUUAAACGAUUUCACCACUAUUAUGCACGUUAAUUUACGAGACUUGUUGCGCAGUGAAUAUAUUUUUCACAACAUUACUAUCGACAUGGUAUCGCAUUGGUAGACCUUUAACCAAGGCAUAGUUUAAUUUCACCUUUUUGACUGAGUCGAGUAAUGCAUGCAUAUGUUCUUUUUGAAUUCUUUCAAAUCCUUCAUUGUUACUGUUUACCGUGAUCAGAAUCUGCUGAUAAGAUUAUAGAACAUAGAUUUUUUGAUGCAAUAUUCAUUAACUCCAUUUCAUAUAGUAUUCAUUAGCAUAAUGUUUUUAACUUUAUUGAUAUUUCUGACAAAUUAUAUAUUUUUCAAAAAAUUUUAUAUUUCCUAAUUAGAUAAUCAAAUUGAUUUUAAUUGAUAAUCAUGAUUACUGUUCAUUAGCAAUCACCUGUCAUCAUUAAUGUUCUUUCCAAACUGGAUUCAGUUUUUGUAUACAAAAAACGGAAUUGCAAUUUUGUCAACCUGCAUUGAACAGUUUCACACAUUUGUAGCCCUUUAUUUCCUUUUAUAUCGUCACGAAAAGUUGAGUAACACAUUACAACCAUAUCCAUCGAAAUUGUUAUGUCGAUGCCACUGCUGGUGGACGUUUCGUCUCCGAGGGUAUCACCAGCCCAGUAGUCAACACUUCGGUGUUGACAUGAAUAUCAAUAAUGUGGUCAUUUUUAUGAAUUUCCUAUUUACAAAACUUUGAAUUUUUCGAAAAACUAAGGAUUUUUCAUCCCGAGCAUAGAUUACCUUAGCCGUAUUUGGCACAACUUUUUGGAAUUUCGGAUCCUCCAUUCUCUUCAACUUUGUACUUGUUUGGCUUUAUAAAUGUUUUGAUAUGAGCGUCACUGAUGAGUCUAAUGUAGACGAAACGCGCGUCUGGCGUACUAAAUAAUUAUCCUGGUACCUUUGAUAACUAUUAUGUGACAGGUUCCUUUUUAUGGAAAAUCACUUGUAUAAAUGUAUGUGGUGUAUUGUGUUAAAUAGGAAAUAUCACAAUAUAAUGAACUAUUUUUUUCACAUCAUAUCCAGAACAAGCUAGAUAAUGAAUCCUUAAUUGUUGCUUUUUUCAAAUGAUAAGAAAUCGAAUUUGAUUUACUCUUCAUAAUAAUUUAAAGACAAAACCAAAAUAACAUAUGAAGAUUAAAUGAAAAUGGAGAAAAUUUGAAAAUACAUCUUGAAGUAGAACUUAUUGACUUUUUUAUUUAGGUUUUCAAGUUUAACUCUGAAGCAUGCAGAAGAUUCUUCUUUUCUUAGCUCUGGUAUUGCUCUUAGCUGGUGAGUUGCACAUUAUAUAUUAUCUACAUCAUUUGCAAAGAAGGAAGCAACAAUUAAAGAUACGGAGGAAAGAUUGAGUACUUCAAACUUGUUGAACCCUCAACCAGGUUGUGGUAUUGUGUUAUUGGGUUGCUGUCACAAUGACACACACAACUGUAUCUCAUUAUAAUCACGCCUUGCUGUUGAUACCAAUUAAAGAAUUUUAAAGAUUUUGAUCUGAAAUAACAUUUCAUGUUAGAAGAAAUUUUUUAAAAAUAUAUUUUAAUCUCUCUUCUUUUUUAUUUGCAGUGACCAUAUCAUUAUUGGUAAUAGACCUAAAAAAAACACUUAGAUAAAUAAAGAUAAUAAUUUAUCGUUGAUUUUUGUAUUCCAAUUUUUCAAUUGCCUUUAAUCGUUUGCUCCAUAGCAAAUUUUGCAUGAUACAAAAUACAAUUUGCUCGUUUUUUCUGUGCAAAUUCUUUCAUAUUGACGUCGGAUUAUAAUCAUUAGUUAACAUAAACAAAUUUUAUAAACAAAACACAACAACCAAGGUGCAAUCAACACUUCAUUUUGUGAGAUACCAUGCAUUAGCUACCCCUUAUAGUUUGAUUUUAUUUAUAGCAAUCUAUUAUAAAACUAUAUAUCACUGAAAUCAUAGUUCACUUAAGUUUUUAAGAAUUGAAAAAUGACGUGUAAUUUAACCAUAUUCUUUUACAUUAAUUCGAAUAAAGAUAACACUUUUUAUGCUUCAGUUUUAUUUUUUUUUUAAAUGUUAGAAAUCACAUUUCUCAUUGUUUCUGUCUGUUACUUGAUUUAUCUCAUUUCCGCCGUCUGUCUACUAUUCAGAAACCUAGCGAAAGUGUAAUAAAUUAAAGAUACAAAAAUGACUAUAAAAUACAAAAUAAAAUGGGUUUUGGUUUCUUCAAAUGCAAAGUUUUUCUUCGGUGUCCUUUGUAAUCUGUUCAACGUACGCUUUCGUCUGUGUCAUUGACAGUUUUAAUUUACUAGCUUAACAGUAAACUCUCCCCCGAAAAGGUGUAUAUAUUCAUAUAUCUAAUUUAAAAUUAUAUCAAAAGAUGUUUUGAAUAAAAGAUAUCCUCCUUCAGCAAAAGCAGUCUGGUGUAAAAUGUCGUCCCUAGUUUAAUAACUUUCAAAAAUCUGUGUUUAACUAGUAUGAUUGUCAAGAUGUUUGAAAAUUAUCGAAGCUAAUGACGCCAUUUUACAGAGAUUCGACUCCUUUGACAAAUACAGAUAUACCAGUAUUAAAGUUGCAGAGUUGCCGUCGUCAAUUUGGAAUUUAAAGGUCAAAUACUGGGCGUCGAUUCAAGAGCAACACCAAAAGAUUUUGACUACAAGGCAUAUAAUUGAACUUCGAUUUGGAGUCAGAUUUAGGACAUCGAUUUGAAGAACGGGAUACUAUUAGAACCCAGUCAUCGAUAUGAGUUAAUAUAUAACAGAACAAAACUAACAAGAAACUAAGGACAAGCAUACACAUUUCUAGUCAAUUAGUUAAAGUGAAGCAGUUCGUCGGCAGGUUUACCAAAACUAACCGAAAUGACUUUAUUUCAGUUAUGGAACAAACUAUAGGACAGAAAUGUUCUUUACAAUAUUGUCGUCAAAGGCCUAGAAGUGAUUGUGGAUGUAAAGGCUGUUGUUGGGGUAAAUUGAAUUGUCGAUUUGGUAGCUGUCAAAGACACAGGGGAAAUCGACGAAGGGGGCUAAAC